GUAACAAGGUCUCCGUUGGUGAACCAGCGGAGGGAUCAUUACCGAGUUAUACAACUCAUCAACCCUGUGAACAUACCUAAAACGUUGCUUCGGCGGGAACAGACGGCCCCGUAACACGGGCCGCCCCCGCCAGAGGACCCCCUAACUCUGUUUCUAUUAUGUUUCUUCUGAGUAAAACAAGCAAAUAAAUUAAAACUUUCAACAACGGAUCUCUUGGCUCUGGCAUCGAUGAAGAACGCAGCGAAAUGCGAUAAGUAAUGUGAAUUGCAGAAUUCAGUGAAUCAUCGAAUCUUUGAACGCACAUUGCGCCCGCCAGUAUUCUGGCGGGCAUGCCUGUUCGAGCGUCAUUACAACCCUCAGGCCCCCGGGCCUGGCGUUGGGGAUCGGCGAGGCGCCCCCUGCGGGCACACGCCGUCCCCCAAAUACAGUGGCGGUCCCGCCGCAGCUUCCAUUGCGUAGUAGCUAACACCUCGCAACUGGAGAGCGGCGCGGCCACGCCGUAAAACACCCAACUUCUGAAUGUUGACCUCGAAUCAGGUAGGAAUACCCGCUGAACUUAAGCAUAUCA
rnacentral:misc_RNA from 1 species